AUUGAACGCUAGCGGGAUGCCUUACACAUGCAAGUCGAACGAGUGGCGAACGGGGGAGUAAUGUCUGGGAAACUGCACGAUGGAGGGGGAUAAAUACUGGAAACGGUAGCUAAUAGCGCAUACCAUAGGAAGUGAAAAGAUGGGAGUCGCUAGUGGGUGUGGUAAUGGCUAACCUAGGCGACGAGCCCUAGCUGGUCUUAGAGGAUGACCAGCCAACCUGGAACUGAGACACGGUCCAGACUCCUACGGGAGGCAGCAGUGGGGAAUAUUGCCCAAUGGGCGCAAGCCUGCUGCAGCCAUGCCGCGUGUAUUAAGAAGGCCUUCGGGUUGUAAAGUACUUUCAGCGAGGAGGCGUUACUCGCAGAAGAAGCACCGGCUAACUCCGUGCCAGCCGCCGCGGUAAUUC
rnacentral:rRNA from 1 species